rnacentral:rRNA from 1 species
AUACGUAGGGUGCGAGCGUUAUCCGGAAUUAUUGGGCGUAAAGAGCUCGUAGGCGGUUUGUCACGUCUGCUGUGAAAGCUCGGGGCUUAACUCCGAGUGUGCAGUGGGUACGGGCAGGCUGGAGUGCAGUAGGGGAGACUGGAAUUCCUGGUGUAGCGGUGAAAUGCGCAGAUAUCAGGAGGAACACCGAUGGCGAAGGCAGGUCUCUGGGCUGUUACUGACGCUGAGGAGCGAAAGCAUGGGGAGCGAACAGGAUUAGAUACCCUGGUAGUCCAUGCCGUAAACGUUGGGCACUAGGUGUGGGGAACAUUCCACGUUUUCCGCGCCGUAGCUAACGCAUUAAGUGCCCCGCCUGGGGAGUACGGCCGCAAGGCUAAA